ACGGAAGGCAGCAGUGGGGAAUAUUGCACAAUGGGGGAAACCCUGAUGCAGCGACGCCGCGUGAGCGAUGAAGUAUUUCGGUAUGUAAAGCUCUAUCAGCAGGGAAGAUAAUGACGGUACCUGACUAAGAAGCCCCGGCUAACUACGUGCCAGCAGCCGCGGUAAUACGUAGGGGGCAAGCGUUAUCCGGAUUUACUGGGUGUAAAGGGAGCGCAGGCGGUUUUUUAAGUCUGAUGUGAAAGCCCGCGGCUCAACUGCGGGACUGCAUUGGAAACUGGAGAACUAGAGUAUCGGAGGGGCAAGUGGAAUUCCUAGUGUAGCGGUGAAAUGCGUAGAUAUUAGGAGGAACACCAGUGGCGAAGGCGGCUUGCUGGACGAUAACUGACGCUGAGGCUCGAAAGCGUGGGGAGCAAACAGGAUUAGAUACCCUGGUA
rnacentral:rRNA from 1 species